rnacentral:rRNA from 1 species
AGCGAACGCUGGCGGCAGGCUUAACACAUGCAAGUCGAGCGGGCGUAGCAAUACGUCAGCGGCAGACGGGUGAGUAACGCGUGGGAACGUACCUUUUGGUCGGAACAACCAGGGAACUUGGGCUAAUACCGGAUAAGCCCUUACGGGGAAAGAUUUAUCGACCAAAAGAUCGGCCCGCGUCUGAUUAGCUAGUUGGUGAGGUAACGGCUCACCAAGGCGACGAUCAGUAGCUGGUCUGA